UUACAACCCGAAGGCCUUCAUCCUGCACGCGGCAUGGCUGGAUCAGGCUUGCGCCCAUUGUCCAAAAUUCCCCA
rnacentral:rRNA from 1 species